rnacentral:rRNA from 1 species
GACGAACGCUGGCGGCGUGCUUAACACAUGCAAGUCGAACGGAAAGGCCCUGCUUUUGUGGGGUGCUCGAGUGGCGAACGGGUGAGUAACCCGUGAGUAACCUGCCCUUGACUUUGGGAUAACUUCAGGAAACUGGGGCUAAUACCGGAUAGGAGCUCCUGCUGCAUGGUGGGGGUUGGAAAGUUUCGGCGGUUGGGGAUGGACUCGCCGCCUAUCAGCUUGUUGGUGGGGUAGUGGCUUACCAAGGCCUUGACGGGUAGCCGGCCUGAGAGGGUGACCGGCCACAUUGGGACUGAGAUGCGGCCCAGACUCCUACGGGAGGCAGGGGUGGGGAAUAUUGCACAAUGGGCGGAAGCCUGAUGCAGCAACGCCGCGUGCGGGAUGACGGCCUUCGGGUUGUAAACCGCUUUCGCCUGUGACGAAGCGUGAGUGACGGUAAUGGGUAAAGAAGCACCGGCUAACUACGUG